rnacentral:sRNA from 1 species
UACCAACCAUUAAGUAUGCCAGAGCACC